UAGGUGACCUGCGGAGGGAUCAUUACUGAGUGAGGGCCUUCGGGCUCGACCUCCAACCCUUUGUGAACACAACUUGUUGCUUCGGGGGCGACCCUGCCGUUUCGACGGCGAGCGCCCCCGGAGGCCUUCAAACACUGCAUCUUUGCGUCGGAGUUUAAGUAAAUUAAACAAAACUUUCAACAACGGAUCUCUUGGUUCUGGCAUCGAUGAAGAACGCAGCGAAAUGCGAUAAGUAAUGUGAAUUGCAGAAUUCAGUGAAUCAUCGAAUCUUUGAACGCACAUUGCGCCCCUUGGUAUUCCGAGGGGCAUGCCUGUUCGAGCGUCAUUUCACCACUCAAGCCUGGCUUGGUAUUGGGCGCCGCGGUCAAUCCGCGCGCCUCAAAGUCUCCGGCUGAGCUGUCCGUCUCUAAGCGUUGUGAUUUCAUUAAUCGCUUCGGAGUGCGGGCGGCCGCGGCCGUUAAAUCUUUCAAAGGUUGACCUCGGAUCAGGUAGGGAUACCCGCUGAACUUAAGCAUAUCAAUAAGCCGGGAGGAA
rnacentral:rRNA from 1 species